UUCAUCCACCCACUUACAGCAGAGUCGGAUUUCAACAAGUGCCCCAACCUUCGAGUAACCCAAGCCAAGGAGGCGGCUCCCGGGUUUAUUAUUAAUUCAAACUGACAGGCUGAUUCGAGGGUUCCAAGAGAGCAGGAAGCCAAACAGACAAUGAAAGCUGGAACGAGAUCUUAAAUGAUUCACUACGCCAGUCGAGCGAUACAUUAAGCCGCCUGCGAUGGGAGGUGGGGACCCAGCCAGUAGACAUGCUUAGGCUAGCAAAGUGGGAUUGGCAGCUAACGUGCCAACGGAGCGCGGCUCAUCUCAUCGGGCGGCAAGCUGCAAUGGAGAACGAACGGUGGGAGCCUUUUUCAAGGUCAGGAAGGAGCAGAGGAGGAGAAGGGCUGGGCGAGGAAAGAAAGAGAGGAGGUGUGCUGUGCGGCAGAGAAAGUCGCUCUCCCCUUCUUAAAGCAAGGGUGGGGGCCUGCUUCUCAAUACAGCCAUGGGUCUGCCUCUGCUGACGAUGCCAGGCGCUAGGCAUCCUUCAAGGGGUGCUUUCCUGGGUGGAAAACAAGACCUGUAGCAUGGCUAAAGCACACCACAACCAAACGCCACAUCCAGCAAGUCUCCAUCAUGGCAACCAGAUGACUCCAGACAGCAACUCUUCUAAAGCUCUGGAUCGGCAAGAUUUCCUCCACUUGGGCAACUGACUUGCGAAGGACACUGCUGAAGGCCUGUCAGACCAAGCACUGCACAGAUCAAUCGAUCAGUCACUGCUUACCAUACACAGCAGGAAGAAAAGGCAAAGCGGGGGAACCGAGUCAUACGUUCUGUCGGCACUCACCUCCGUAUCAAGGAGUGUUGGAGGUUUCUGCAAACUGUGAGCGAUUCUCCCGUAAACAUGUGGCACAUGAUGACCUCGAGGCAGCUGGCCAUGAAUGACAUCACGGCAUCCGACUGCAAAGUCCCGCUCCGGGAGAUGAUGCAAAGGCGCUGCAGCGAAGAGCAGUGGCUCAAGGCUUGGAAGAACUGAGCGUUGGCACUGAAGUACGGCUGCUCCAGCCUGCAAGGGACAACGGAGAACCAAAUGAACGGCACAGACCUUAGCAUUUCUAUAAUGUUCAGGAGUCAUUAUCUCCCAUAAUCCGCAGCUCAUGACCAUGCUGGACAAGGAUACUGGAAGGCCCAGUCUGAAAAGCAGCUUUGCUAGUCCAGAGAGAAAUUGCACUCUGAGAGGCUUUGCAUAUGCACGGUUUUGCAAUGGCAGAGCAGGUGAGACCAUGCUUUAGGAUAGAUAUGGGCAAAAGGCAGUGAGUGGGUGGGUGGGAAAUACUUAUCUUGCCAUACACCAUCCAUUCCACCAGGUGACACUGUUGCUUUACUAUAUUCUUAAAAUAAUAUUUUACUACUGAGAGUAUCUCAAUUCUCCCCAUCCAUUGUAAGAAACGGGUGCUGCCUGGGGGACUCCUUUGUCGGGAGGUGUUAGCCAGCCCUGAUUGUUUCAUGCCUGGAAUUCCCGUUUUCAGAUUUGCAGUAAAUAAGGAUUCCCCCAGGCAGGAAUCAACCAAGCCUUGAGGCUGCAAGGCUUUUCAAUGCUGGUCACGGUGAUUAAUUGCAACAUUCACACUUGCCUCCAACAGACAAGAGUUCUUUCUCCCACCCUAGACAUCAUUCCACAGAUAUAUAAACCUCCCUUGCUUAGUUUCCAAUAUGCCUCACAACCUCUAAGGAUGCCUGCCAUAGAUGUGGGUGAAACGUCAGGAGAGAAAUGCUUGUGGAACAUGGCCAGACAGCCCAGAAAGCUCACAGCAGCCCACCCUAGUUCUCUUUACAAUGUAUGUGGUGCAGGCUGGAGAGCAGCUGCAAUGAAUCACUGCAAUGAAUCACUCUGACCAGGUCAUGAGUUCGAGGCCUGCUCAGAGCCUAUGUUUGUCUGUCUUUAUUCUAUGUUUUAAAAAAAGGCAUUAAAUGUUUGCCUAUAUGUGUAAUGUGAUCCGCCCUGAGUCCCCUUCGGGGUGAGAAGGGCAGAAUAUAAAUGCUGUAAAUAAAUAAAUAAAUAAAUAAACUAA